rnacentral:rRNA from 1 species
UACGUAGGGUGCAAGCGUUGUCCGGAUUUAUUGGGCGUAAAGAGCUCGUAGGCGGUUUGUCGCGUCGGAUGUGAAAACCUAUGGCUUAACCAUGGGCCUGCAUUCGAUACGGGCAAACUAGAGUUUGGUAGGGGAGAUUGGAACUCCUGGUGUAGCGGUGAAAUGCGCAGAUAUCAGGAAGAACACCGGUGGCGAAGGCGGAUCUCUGGGCCAAUACUGACGCUGAGGAGCGAAAGCGUGGGGAGCAAACAGG